CUUGCUUCUCUUGAGAGCGGCGGACGGGUGAGUAAUGCCUAGGAAUCUGCCUGGUAGUGGGGGAUAACGUCCGGAAACGGACGCUAAUACCGCAUACGUCCUACGGGAGAAAGCAGGGGACCUUCGGGCCUUGCGCUAUCAGAUGAGCCUAGGUCGGAUUAGCUAGUUGGUGGGGUAAUGGCUCACCAAGGCGACGAUCCGUAACUGGUCUGAGAGGAUGAUCAGUCACACUGGAACUGAGACACGGUCCAGACUCCUACGGGAGGCAGCAGUGGGGAAUAUUGGACAAUGGGCGAAAGCCUGAUCCAGCCAUGCCGCGUGUGUGAAGAAGGUCUUCGGAUUGUAAAGCACUUUAAGUUGGGAGGAAGGGCAGUAAAUUAAUACUUUGCUGUUUUGACGUUACCGACAGAAUAAGCACCGGCUAACUCUGUGCCAGCAGCCGCGGUAAUACAGAGGGUGCAAGCGUUAAUCGGAAUUACUGGGCGUAAAGCGCGCGUAGGUGGUUCGUUAAGUUGGAUGUGAAAUCCCCGGGCUCAACCUGGGGAACUGCAUUCAAAACUGACGAGCUAGAGUAUGGUAGAGGGUGGUGGAAUUUCCUGUGUAGC
rnacentral:rRNA from 1 species